ACACAACUCUCGGCAACGGAUAUCUCGGCUCUCGCAUCGAUGAAGAACGUAGCGAAAUGCGAUACCUGGUGUGAAUUGCAGAAUCCCGCGAACCAUCGAGUCUUUGAACGCAAGUUGCGCCCGAGGCCAUUCGGCCGAGGGCACGCCUGCCUGGGCGUCACG
rnacentral:rRNA from 1 species